GCCCAUAAAAAUUAUUUGUCCACUUUUGCAUUUGUGUAAAAAAAACAUGUGAGGGAUCUAAAAGAACCGAAUAUGCAUUUUGACACAACAUUUUGAAUGUAAUUUAUCAUUUUAAAACUGACAGCUGCUAAAGUAUUUGCACAAAUUCAAGCUUUUUUUUUAUCAGGCAGCAUAUCCUUCUGGAGGCUUGUUCACCUUUAAAUCAUACUGUCAAAAAAUCUAUGACAAAUAUGUUAUUGUUUGAAAAAGCAUAGGAAGGACUCUUUGAAAUUCCAUUCAAACAAUUAAUGCAUGAAUUCCUCUAUCCCAGGAAGGUCUAGGAGACAUCUGCUUUUAUUUUGGCUUUUAUGUGCAGAAUAUCUAAAUUUGCCUUUUAUAUAAAUUUUUAAUGAUAGAGAGAAAAAUACAUAAAAAUAAAAACAACCUUAAUAUUAAAACAAUAGUUGUAUAUAAAUAAAACAUUUGAAAGACAUUUGAUUUGGAUACACUGAUAUCAUCAUAAAAAUAAACAGGGAGAUAUCUAUAACAAAAUAC
rnacentral:lncRNA from 1 species